CGGGAAUAUUGGGCAAUGGGGGAAACCCUGACCCAGCAACGCCGCGUGAGUGACGAAGGCCUUCGGGUCGUAAAGCUCUGUCCUUGGGGACGAAGAAUGACGGUACCCAAGAAGAAAGCCACGGCUAACUACGUGCCAGCAGCCGCGGUAAUACGUAGGUGGCAAGCGUUGUCCGGAAUUACUGGGCGUAAAGGGCGAGUAGGCGGUUCUGGCCGUCAGAUGUGAAAGGCAAGGGCUCAACCCUUGGACAGCAUUUGAAACACCAGGACUUGAGUGCGGUAGAGGAAAGUGGAAUUCCCAGUGUAGCGGUGAAAUGCGUAGAUAUUGGGAGGAACACCAGUGGCGAAGGCGACUUUCUGGGCCGUAACUGACGCUGAGGCGCGAAAGCGUGGGGAGCAAAC
rnacentral:rRNA from 1 species